AUUGCCUCAGUAACGGCGAGUGAAGCGGCAACAGCUCAAAUUUGAAAUCUGGCCCUUUCAGGGUCCGAGUUGUAAUUUGUAGAGGAUGUUUCGGGUGUGGCUCCGGUCUAAGUUCCUUGGAACAGGACGUCAUAGAGGGUGAGAAUCCCGUAUGUGACUGGUAGCCUACGCCCAUGUGAAACUCCUUCGACGAGUCGAGUUGUUUGGGAAUGCAGCUCAAAAUGGGUGGUAAAUUUCAUCUAAAGCUAAAUAUUGGCCAGAGACCGAUAGCGCACAAGUAGAGUGAUCGAAAGAUGAAAAGCACUUUGGAAAGAGAAGUUAAACAGUACGUGAAAUUGUUGAAAGGGAAGCGGCUUGCAACCCAGACUUGGCAUGUAGGCUGAUCAACCGGUGUUCUCACCCGGGUGCACUCAGUUGCGUUCAGGCCAGCAUCGGUUUCGACGGUUUGGAUAAAGGCCCUGGGAAUGUAGCUCCUCUCGGGGAGUGUUAUAGCCCCAGGGUGCAAUGCAGCCUGUCGGGACCGAGGACCGCGCUUCGGCUAGGAUGCUGGCGUAAUGGUUGUAAGCGACCCGUCUUGAAACACGGACCAAGGAGUCUAACAUCUAUGCGAGUGUUUGGGUGUCAAACCCAUACGCGUAAUGAAAGUGAACGGAGGUGAGAACCCUUAAGGGUGCAUCAUCGACCGAUCCUGAUGUCUUCGGAUGGAUUUGAGUAAGAGCAUAGCUGUUGGGACCCGAAAGAUGGUGAACUAUGCCUGAAUAGGGUGAAGCCAGAGGAAACUCUGGUGGAGGCUCGCAGCGGUUCUGACGUGCAAAUCGAUCGUCAAAUUUGGGUAUAGGGGGCGAAAGACUAAUCGAACCAUUGACCCGUGUGUCACCGGCGGACGGGAGCGCGUCUCCCGCCCGGCCGUCGGAUAUUACUAGGUGGUUAAGAGGCGCAGUUCAAAGCUGCGCCUAGUCCUGUGUAAGGGGCGAAACCUCCAAAUUGCGGGGACACCCUAAAGCCCCGGAACCCCAAGCUGCCCUCGAAAGUCGGCAGUGGCCGCAGCUAAUCACUGCGGGUAUGGGAACAGCGUCCGGGGAUAAAUAGUAUGGGCGAUCCGCAGCCAAGCUCCUCUCGGGCGACCGACUGUGAGAAGGUUCAUCGACUAGACGGUGGUUGGUCAUCUGGGGCACCGCCCCAGACGGCUUAAGGUAUAGUCAGGCCUGCAGGAGACUGCAGCGGGACGACGAAGGACUGGCGUUACACCGCACGACCCGUGCGCGCCAGGUUGAUCUUGCAUCAUUCACCCCGAAUCGCCCCGGCCGACCGCGUCUCUCCGGAGCGCGGGCGGC
rnacentral:rRNA from 1 species